CGUUGUUUCCACACACAGGUCGAAUCGUAUCGAUGAAAGUCAUCACACGAAUCAGAAGGAGGUUACGGACCCUUAAGGCUCAGCGUCAAGGAGACCAAAGUCACAGAGGACGACGCGAGGCUUUCAAUAUCCAAUCAAACUUCAGGAAUUAAAGAUGACGAGAGUUGCCACUUCCCUAUUGUCGUUCCCGACUCUUCACGUUCUGACACCGGCUCAGAGCCCUUUGGUUUCAUCUUCUCCUGCACUGGGUUCCCCCGGCUCGUCACUCUAUGACGGUCCACUGCUGCCAUAUCGUUAACAUGUGGAUUAACCCCCCAAAAAAGUAGUCACUUAGGACGAGGCAACAAAACCGCUUCGUGGAAAUUGCUAAGUGAGACUUGACAUAUUGAAAACAAGGACACAGAACACGGAACAUUGGGUGAAUACUUCGUGUUUUUGUUUUUCCCGUUCAUCAUUCCCCCCUCCCACUCGACCAACAUUUUUUUUUGGGGUCUUUAUACAAACGCCAGCACAUUCCCGGAGCGCUCGCUCUGAACGUCGAGAGCGAGAGGCGUUGAUCGAACAAAACUACAAGGCCAGUUUAUUUCUCUUGUUCGUGCAAAAGAAACAAUACAUCAGUCCAGGUCCUACAAAAAUAACAUGUCCUUUCCUUUAUGUGCUACAACUUACAUCAUGGGGCCAAAAAUCAGAAGCAUCUCCGAUCCAUUUGAGGUAUUUUAAACAUAUAAACCCACCAGUGUCCCACCCAGUCAGGAUGUGGCCUCAGUGAGUUAUGAGGUAGAAAAGCCUUGAGGAGCUUCUCGAUAGGCAGUUACAGUACACUCAUCAGCCUGUAAAUACAAUAAUCAAUACACUGAGUAGGGGGCUAGUUUCAAUAAUAAAAGUUCCUCUAGCAGAGGGCCUGUAGGAGAAUGCAAAAAAUUUAAGAAAAUGUGCUUUUGGUAUAUUAAAGUUGAACAAUCUAGACUUGCGGGAAGUGAGGAAGACAUUCUGAGACCUGCGUUACACAUUGUGCUAUCACUCAUUAUUUUUUACUUUCAGAUUGUGGUUAGUUGUAACAUUACAUAAAAUGCUCACACACUUAGAAAACAAAAUCUUCUAUUGUUGUUGCACUGAAUAUAGAGUCAUAAUUUAUCGAAUAGUUUCACCAUGAAUUAACAUGUUUGACCUCACACACCUCUUGAUGGUUUGACAGCAGGCCAUAUAUCCCGAGUACGAGUCUGAGGAUGUGAAGGUGUCACCUCGGACCGUUUUGCCGCCGGCGAGUCGUCCGGCAAGGACGAGGAGGAACGCCGACCUCCCUGCAGCUCGGAGCGACGCCGCCAUUCACGCGGUUGAAUUUGCAUAACUAUCCCUAACCUGCACAUAGUUAUUCAAAUAACCUUGAGUCGGCCAGUUGAAUGAGGUGUGACUCAUUAAUUGUGCAGUUUGUGCUCGAGCCCUUUCGACCGGGCCAAAGGGAACGCCCGGGGGGUGGCUCGGAAUUAGAUUCACAUAUUUUAGAGCUAUAAAACUCCUCGUUUGGUACUCGAAGCCGUGGGAAGAUGAAGUUACAAUGACAUGUGCAGAGCGAUAGCCAAUGAGCGACGCUUGCUUGGAUUGGGAGAUUUCAGGCGACGGUGGGUCAGUGGUCAGCUGGUCCGUCUUUCAAGCAGAGGGUUGGCGGUUCAACCCCCGCCCUAGUCGAUGUGUCCUUGAGCAAGGCACUUAACCCUGAGUUGUUCCCUGUAGCUGUGUCUAUGGGGUAUGAAUGUAACAUGAAGUAGGUGAAUGUGGAUAAAAGCGUGAGCUGAAUGUAAUCAGAAUCAGAAUCAGGUUUAUUGCCAAAGAAUGUUUUCACAAACAAACGAGGAACUUUUUUUGGCGGAAGGUGCAAGAUUCGCGCACCAAGACACCGAGUCGAUAAAACGUACCCUCACUAAUUCAUUGAUAGCCCCAACUAUCCUCACAGUGUUGUUAAUGUCGUGAUAACCCGAGGUGAUCAAUAUGCGGAUGGAGUUUCUUCACUUACUAUAGAUUAUAUUCAAUUAAUUUCAGUUUAUUUUGUAUAGCCCAAUAUCACAAAUUACAAAUUUGCCUCAAAGGGCUUUACAAUCUGUACACAUACGACUUCCUGACCUUUGACCUCACAUCGGAUCCGGAAAAACUUCCAAGAAAUAGAAAAAAACCUUCACGGGAGAAAAUAAAGGGAACACACCGUCAGGAGAGCAACAGAGGAGGAUCCCUCUCCAGGAUGGACAGAACAAUAGAUCCCAUUGGUUUCAUAUAUUUCUUUUUUUUAGCUGUCUACGGUGUAUGAUUUUAACAUGAUUGUAAGUCGCUUUGGAUAAAAGAGUCAACUAAAUGACAUGUAAUAUUAUUUCAUUCAAGAAUUAAAUAUGGCACGACGUCCUUCUUGAUAAAAAAAAGUUAAACAAGGAGACGCAAACUGAAUGAAUUUAGAUGCAUUUGUCACACACAAGCACACAAAUACAAUAACAUCAUGUUGACUCAUCAGACGAGGCCCGGUGACUAAUUUUCCUCCAUCGUGAAGGUUUUGUGUUAUUUUCCUUUUUUGAAACCGUUUUUCUAAAACCAUGUCAAAUGGUGAAUAAAGUUAUUCACUUUGCCUUUCGACAGCACGGCGGAUAUUACGAGGACGGCCAUCACAUAGGCGGACUUCCGAUUUGCAGGCGUUCUCCUGCCAGCAGCUCCUGAUUGAAAUGAAGGAAACCCGCUGAGUGUAAACAUCGUGGAGAGAAACGACAAAGCGUGGAGCUGAUUGGAGGGCUUAGACCGGAGGUUUAGGACACCAAUCAAUAGCAAGCACAAAUUACUACAAAUGGGUAACUCUUCACCACUGACUACACAUGUUGUUCACACUCUUUCACUCUGACUCCAUCGAGCACUCAAUCAAAAGUGAUUGUGGAACUUUAAACGCUCGUGGACGUGAAUGAACUGAUCCAUGAUUGUUUUUUGGGGGUUUAUCUCGCUAGCUUUUGCACAUUUGUCAUGUUUUCAGAAAACAGGGAUACGCUCAUAUCCCUUUAAGAGCAACCCCUAAAAGAGUAGACUGUUGUAUGUAUGGAC